CAAACUUUAAUGAAAAUAUGCAUCAUGUUAUUAUGUUUUCUUGAUGUUCCAUUUUGGUUAGCGCCUGAUGUUAUGUUAGUUAAGUUGUAAGAUGUGCCUAUAUUGGAGAGUUGUUUGAAUGUGCUGCACAAACCACUUGUGCUAUCGGGCUUCCUGCUGAAGCUUGCAGCCCCCCUGAGCACGUGGAAAUGCACCCGCUGUGUGCGUCCAUAUCAUAUCUUAAACAGGCUGCACAAAUUCCAUGUGCAGUGCAGCAAAUGGGGGAUAAUUUAAUUGAGAGUGCCAUACCCAUUUUUGGGGUUAGUCGAUAUAAAACCCCAUUGUUUCAAGCAUGCUUGCUUCGUCACUAAGGUGAAAAGACUUAACAACCCUGUCAUUCUGUUGCACCAGGCUUUCUGCUGUGGGCAUGUUGGAAAGACUGGAUGACAAAAAUACAUUGGUUUGGACUUUGUUUUUUUUUGUGUGAACUUGUCGACAAAACGGACAUAACAUGUUGAAAGAUGAAAGUUUAAGGAGCUGGGUCAAAUCAUCUGAUGCAUGCUGUGGAUGUGAGGAAGCUUUGUGAGCUGCAAAUAACAAGGUUUUAAAAGGGGAACAGAAAAAGUUGGCCUGCGAGACAUAGUUGGCAAGAAGAGUGGAGAUUCUUAAUGAAGUUGCCGUGGGUAUUUAUAAAUAGAUAUUGAAACUGAUAACUCAAUGUUUGCUUUAAAUAGUUAAUCAAUGGUCUAUUGGACUCCGUGUAGCCCUGUUGACAGUCAUCAAAUGUGGCACAGUUGUGUUUAUUCUAACUAUUCUCUGUCAUGAAAACAAGACCCUUGCAAAGUUUUGCUAAGUAUCUGGUGUAAAGUUUCAAAUGAGUUUGUUUGCCCAGCCUCCAAAAAUCUUUGUAUAUGUGAAUAAUAAUCUUUGGUGGGUCAGAAAUGACGGGGGAUUUUUGUUUGUUAUUUUAAAGUUCUGUUUACAGCACAAUUUGCACAUUUCUGCCAAACAGUUUCUAUUUUGAAGGUAAGAGACAGUCAAGGCUCAGAUGAACAAAGAGUGAAGAUGUUAGAGACUUUCCAUGAUGUGGAGGAGCUGGUGUUGGA